AGUGAACGCUGGCGGUAGGCCUAACACAUGCAAGUCGAACGGCAGCACAGUAAGAGCUUGCUCUUACGGGUGGCGAGUGGCGGACGGGUGAGGAAUACAUCGGAAUCUACUUUUUCGUGGGGGAUAACGUAGGGAAACUUACGCUAAUACCGCAUACGACCUACGGGUGAAAGCAGGGGAUCUUCGGACCUUGCGCGAUUGAAUGAGCCGAUGUCGGUUUAGCUAGUUGGCGGGGUAAAGGCCCACCAAGGCGACGAUCCGUAGCUGGUCUGAGAGGAUGAUCAGCCACACUAGAACUGAGACACGGUCCAGACUCCUACGGGAGGCAGCAGUGGGGAAUAUUAGACAAUGGGCGCAAGCCUGAUCCAGCCAUACCGCGUGUGUGAAGAAGGCCUUCGGGUUGUAAAGCCCUUUUGUUGGGAAAGAAAAGCAGCAGGUUAAUACCCCGCUGUUCUGACGGUACCCAAAGAAUAAGCACCGGCUAACUUCGUG
rnacentral:rRNA from 1 species